GGUGUUGUAGCUCAGUGGUAGAGCAUUUGCCUUGCAUGCUUGAGGCAAUGGGUUCGAUCCUCGGCACCA
rnacentral:tRNA from 1 species